UACGGAGGGUGCGAGCGUUAAUCGGAAUCACUGGGCGUAAAGCGCGCGUAGGCGGCUUUUCAAGUCAGGGGUGAAAUCCCACGGCCCAACCGUGGAACUGCCUUUGAAACUAUAGAGCUUGAGUGUCGGAGAGGGUGGCGGAAUUCCAGGUGUAGGAGUGAAAUCCGUAGAUAUCUGGAGGAACACCGGUGGCGAAGGCGGCCACCUGGACGACAACUGACGCUGAGGUGCGAAAGCGUGGGUAGCAAACAGG
rnacentral:rRNA from 1 species